rnacentral:lncRNA from 1 species
UUUUUUUUUUUUUUUUUUUAAACCAGGUAUGCUUGGAUUUAGUUACUUUGUGACCUUGGCAGGGUUUCUAAUCUCUGGUCUGCUUUCUCAGUUAGAAAUAAGGAUAGCUUACAGGGCUGUUGUGAAGGCUAAAUGAGAUAACACAUGCAGGCCUGGCACAUAGCAGACUUUCUCUCAGUGUACUUUGUUGCUUUAUACCAGUAAGUGUCUCUUUCCAUUGUCAUUGUGAGUUAACCCAUCGAUCAUCCAUUUUAGCCAGACUGAGAGUUCCUCUAGAGUGUCUUUCAUCUCUGCCUCCCCCAAAACGCAGGGCACAUGGCUGGGAAGGAAAACUCUGAGCUUCACUUUAGAAAAGAGUUUGAGGUGCCUGUGAGAAUGUCCAAGCACACAUCCUUGGCAGUUGGAUCUACCUGGUUGUGAAGCUCAGCGGAGAGAUCUGGUUUGAAGGUGAAGUUUGGGGAAUGAGUUAGGAGUGUGUCAGGUGGUUGAAAGCAUGGUUGGGAUGAAGUGCACUGUCCUAAUUAAGGUUACAGAGGAGACUAAGUUACAGGAGGCUGAACUGAAGCGUUAGUGCUUUAUACAGUCCCAGAGCAUCAAGGGCCAGGACCAUGAGGCAGCGAAGAAGAAAACACAAGGUUUAUUUUAAUGAGUUGACUACUGCUUCACAAAUACGCAACCAGCCACUUGCCCAUGUGUGACGGCUCUGGAUAGACUGUACGGAAACACUACAUUGGCGUUGAUGGAGGGAUGGAGAGCACAUUUAGCUCCUCUCUCUCUCUCUCUUUUUUUUUUUUUUUUUUUUUUUUUUUUUUGUCUUUUUGCUAUUUCUUAGGCUGCUCCCGCGGCAUAUGGAGGUUCCCAGGCUAGGGGUCUAAUUGGAGCCGUAGCCACUGGCCUAUGCCAGAGCCACAGCAAUGCAGGAUCCGAGCCGCAUUUGCAACCUACACCACAGCUCACGGCAACGCUGGAUCCUUAACCCACUGAGCAAGGGCAGGGACCGAACCUGCAACAUCAUGGUUCCUAGUCGGAUUCGUUAACCACUGCGCCACGACGGGAACUCCUUUUUUUUUUUUUUUUUGUCCUCUCUCUUGCCUCCUGUUUUUCACUGCUUCAGGUUUGCCCUGUUGGGUGUUUGCUCCCCUCACUUGCUGGCACUGUAUCAGUUGACCAGCAGAAAAGUCAGAUCCCCUGCCCUGCAGCAUAGCAUGUCCUCCAGGUCCUGAAGUGGUGAGGUGAACAUAGGGUACUGGCCUCUGGGACUUGGUCAACACGGAGGAAGCAGCUGGAGGCCUGGGGUUUAGGUGAGGCCGCAGAUACUGGAGUAUAGAGUACAGGGCAGGAGGGCAGUGCCCUGGGCAGUUCUGAGAGUUAAAAAGAACCCAUAGCAGAACCUUGGGGAUCAUCCACGGGAGCAGAGACCCCAGAGGAAAUGUCACUGGACCAGGGAAAACAGAUUGGGGGAAGGUAGUUGACAGCUCAGAGGUCAAAUGGACUGAGUUCAGAAAGUGGCAUGCGAAUCUGAGAUGGUCCUGAGCUGGCAAGUGCUCCCUCUGCUGGUGGAACAGAGGGACCAGAAACUGGGUUGUGGCAAGAAAGGGGAGCGAGCAGCACACACCCACUGCUGUGUCCUGAUGUUCAGGGGAAGUUGGGUGGCCCAGGGCUGGCAGACAGCUGACAUAGGCUUCGCUGCCUGUAAAUGAUGGGAGCUGCCCAGGGACCCCAAGAGAUUUCUGGAAACUAGGGUAGGAUGUGAUGGUGGGGAGAGAGGCCUAGUGAGGCACUCUGUGUGGCAAGGAUGGUGCAUAGCAUGGGAGGGAGCAGACUCCUUUGGUCCAUCUAAACCCAGAGCUGCCAGUUGUGAUGCGAGAACUGACUGGCAACUGGCAGAGGCAGGGUCUGAACAGCCUCAGUUUUGUCUUCUGGGAACUUCUCUCUUUUGGAGGAGAUUCCCAGAGUCAGGAUCACCUUCCCCAUCAACACUGAGACAGCUUUGUGAAGAAAGGAAAAGGCUCGCAUUUCGGGUCUUUCACUUAUACAUUGUGUGGACUUGGGGAAGUUGCUUAACUUCUCAACCUCCGCCUCUGUAUCUAUAAUAUGAGGCUAGUAGCGUUUUCCUCGCAAAGAAAGAAAGAAAGAAAUACAAGCAGUCACAUUCCCAAGACAUACACCUCUGACACAAAUACUGAUAUUUUGGAUCCUGGAGGAUAGGCAGUCUCGGUGCCCCAGUUUUUGGCUCAUUUCCAUGGGUGGUUACUGUCCUGUUUUCUACCAUCCACGCACUGUUUCCUCCUACACUUCACAGGCCAAGGCUGGGGAAGAGUCACAUGUUCACGGCACGCCCCCUUCACCCCAGUUUGAAUUUAUGUGCUUGGUUCCCAUUUUCCACGCUCUCCUGCAGUGGGAAGCAGAAGUGGGGGCGGUACAGAGAGCUGAGUGUCUGCUGGCUGAUCCUAAGAAAUGUCUAAGACCCCAGAGCCAAUUCCAUCCUCCCUCAGCUUUGAGGCUGAGAGUGAGCCAGGAGCACGUGUGCACCACAGCUCCAGGCGCCCAACUGGGAGGCUUCGUGGCACUGAGUACUUUGAGCCUGUCAGGCGCGGAACACCUGGAGAACGUGGGCUUCGGGGAUGUUAUACUCCAUGUAGCCCCUCCUUCUCUGUAUAUGGAGACACAUGUCCAUUCACCCAGCCUUCCCUCAGCCCUGCACAUGUGCCAGCCGAAAUCCCUGCCGCCCAGGGACAGACAGCCUCUUGCUGAGGUGCUCAGAGGGGUGGCCUGGGGAUGUUUGGCUUCCCUUUCUCGCCAGAAGGUCGGGGAGAUUGGGGGUGAGGCUUGGAUGCAUCUUAUUCAAAUAACUGGUGUCAGAGUAAAGAUAUGCCAGUCACCCUGUGUUUCGUUAGUUUGUAUUAUGGGGAGUUUUAACAUACUUCCCAUAGUACAGUAGAGAGCAGUGACUCUCCAUGUGCUGAUAUUCAUCGUUUCAUGACCAAUCUGUCUCAUCUAAGUGUCUCUUCUUCUUUCACCUCCCCCCUCCAUAUAUUAUUUUGAAGCAAAUCCCAGACAUCAUCUUAUCAUUUUGUCCCAAAGUAUUUUAGUAUCCCUAAAAGAUAGCGCGUCUAAGAAAACUACAAAACCAUUAUUGCACCUAAAAAAAAAUCCAUCAAAUAUCCAGUGUUCAAAUUUCCCUGUCUUAUACAGAUGUUUUGUUUUACAGUAUGUGUGUUUGGGUAAGUUUCAAGAAAAAGAAAAUACACUAUAAAUAGCUGUCUCUUGAUUUCCAUAUUCUGAAUGACCAUUAUGGCACCAAUACAACAUAUGCUUUUUAUUCACAUAUCUUAAACUUUGUUUUCAGGGUGUCAGCGAUUCAAAUGUAUGUUGUUAUCCUGAGAACACAAAGGACACAACAUGGAGGAAGAUUGAGAACACAGCUCCUAGUUCUUAGUCAUUAGUGAUUGUAGAGAUUUUCCUUUUAGUGUUUCCUAUGUAGUUUCAUUAAUUUAAAGAGGUCCUGCCAUGGUUCUGCAGGAGCCAGAGGGAGAGUACGAUGAAAAAAAAAAAAAAAAUGGACCCAAAGUUAGGAAGAGAUAAAAAUGGAAGUCAAGGAGAGGGAAUAUAUUAUGAGACUAAAUGCAAGGAUUUCCUUCAUACAGAGUGUAAGCAUCUGUCUUAGCUUGGGUUACUGUAACAAAAUACCACAAACUGGGUUGCUUAUCAACAGUGGAAAUGAAUUUCUUACAGUUCCGGAGCCUAGGAGUCUGAAAUCAGGAUGUCAGCUCGGCCAGGUUCUGGAGAGACGGCUCUUCUGGGUGCAGGUGGCGGACUUUGUAUUUUCACAUGGCAGAAAGAGACUAAGCUCGUUUUCUGGCCUCUUAUGAGGAUAUUAAUCCCAUUCAUGAGGGCUCCACCUUUCUGACCUAAUUUCCUCCCAGAGCUUUACUUGGUAAAAUACCAUCACAUUAGGGAUUAGAUAGCAACAUAGGAAUUUGGGGGGACACAAACAUUCAGUCCAUAACAGCAGCCAAACAGGUGCUGAGGAAAGAAAUUAUAUCCUCUUGCUUCUGCCUCAUGUUACCCAUUAAUGAGCCCCAUAGAUGGUGCACAUCGCUGAGGAGGAGCGCUCUCCUCUCAGCAUUGUGUGCAGAAAGGGAGGUGAUGGGAGAGCAACUUGCUUUUGAGAUGCUCUAGGUUGAUGGGUAUCAAAACCUUCCCUGUGGAAAGCCUGUCAAGUAGCUGGAGCGGUGGCUCUCCAACUUUACAAAUGAUGGUAGUUGUAACAAAUUUCUGUUGAAGAUUUGAAAGGAUUGAGGAAGAAAAGUGUAUGGAAGGGGGCCUUAGAGAUAGCCAGGUGCUAUGGGAACAUGGGUGUUGACUUAAGUGCUCUCAGCCUCCACAGGUCAGGUUAAAAAUUCUAAGCCCUCUCACUUUAGAUUAAAUAUAGGGCAUAUACCAAGUAAAGCUUUACUUCAAAUGCAGCGAUUGGGUGGAGCUACGGGAAAAGGAACACUUCCCUAGAAUAUUACUUAGACCUUUGCACUUCCUUCAUUCAGGCCACAACAAACUGGCCAAAGAGGAUGUACUUUUCAACAAACAGAAUAGUGGAGGUACCACAGACACAACUCUUAACAUAGGAAGAGAGAUGUAAGCUCACAAGAGGGUGAUGGGGCUGUGCUCAGCGCUGGAUGCAGGGAGAAAGAAUGUAGAACCAGGAAAGACAGCUUUCUCCAUCCUUUGUCAAAAUUCUGGAUUAGUAAACACUGAGGCCAGGUUAUCCAUUUUCAGAGAAUUGGCUUAGUGGAAAGGGAAAUGGCAGGGGUUUUUGGUCCCCUGAAAUUGCUAAAUAAGACUUUACAAGGAGGCACGUGAGGGUCACGAGACGACUGAAACAAGUUGAGGAAUUUGGAAGGUGGAAAAAGAGUUUUACUGCUAUUAGAGGUCUUUUCUCCCUGACCUUGCUGAGCCCUUCACAGUCAGCCUUGAGGUAUGGUAAGACCUGCCAGUCCCGCCUUGUUGAUGAUGGCUGCACAAAGGGAGAAUGCCAUAAGCCAGCUGCAUGCAAUGGGGAAGCUAAGAAAAAGAUUGCUCAGUAAUUUUAAUUCUGCGGGAGGGAGGAGUUUUCAGCUUCUCCAAGAUUUGGGCUCCCAGGGUAAUUUGUUUUCAGUUUAAUUUUUCAUAUUCCUGUUAUUAGUAGGUUAAGAAAGUAGGAUUUUCCCAAGUACUGAUUUAUAGAUGUUUACAAGCCCACGCAAAAUGUUCAGUGUUACAAAUAACAUUCAUUGAUCCUUUUAAAUGUAAUUUCAGUCAUUAAGUGCAAUGAUAAUAUAAUGUGGUUAAAUUUACACUAAAUCUUGUGUAUCCUGAACUACAAGAAGUUGAGCAAGUGUUUUCUGUAACCAUGUAUGAUUUGAGUCAAGUAUAGUUUUCCACAAUGAACAGGUAUUAACAAAUAUAUUAAUAGGACACUAUGCCAGAUGCUUAUUCUGCCAUCAGCUUUUUAAGCAAUGCCAUUCCAGAUGCUACUGAAAGCAUUUAUUUUAGAAGCUUUAAUCUGUAGUUCCCUGGUGGCCUAGUGGGUUAAGGAUCUAGCCUUGUCACUGCUGUGGUAGGAACUUCUGCAUGUCAUGGCCGUGGCCAAAAAAAUAAAUAGAAGAAGCUUUAAUCUGAUCUCAGAAAUGGGUUCUCCUACAGCUUGACAAAUAGUAUGUAUAAGUCUCAAAGCUUCUAAAUUAAAAAAGCCUUCCAACACUGAAGCAUUCAUGUGAAACUUAGUU